CUCAGUGUAAUGAAUCAUAGUCUUUAACUGAAGGCUGCUGUCCUCAUAAAGGGCGUCACCUCCUCAGAGGGCCUCCUGUGGCCAUCAAGAUAAUGAGUGGGUUGAAUUGUGUUCCUUUCCAUUUCAGAUGUGAAACAACCCUUUGGCUAAAUCGAGCAGUAACCAAGAAAGGACUUUUCUACAUAAACAGGAACGAGGCUGGGGAUGGAGAUCUCCUGUUCCCAGACCUGAGCAUUGUUAGCGAGAGGCUGAAGCUAUUCCACAGCUAACAUUCUGACGCUCUGUUGGGCGGUUUGCAGAGGACUCCCUGGAUUCCGAUGGUGCAGAUGAAUUGGGUUAUCCUCUCUGCUGCCCAAAGUCCCCUGUGGGCUAACAGCAUUACUUGUGAGCUUGUUAGAAAUAAAGGGCAGGUAUGGCAGCCACAUACUUAUCAUCUUAGCAUUUGUGGGGUAGAGGCAGAAGGAUCAGGGCAUCAAGACCUGGCUCUAUGAGACCCUAUCUUAAAGAAAUGAAUGACCAGAUUGGCUCAGUGGCAUAGCCUUCACCUAAGCAGUUAUAAAGUUGCAAAAAGGAAAUGAAGACUCCCAGGGCCCUUCCCAGAUGGCUGAGUGAGAUUUUAAUAAGGCUACAGGCAACUGGAGUACACGCAGCACAAUAAAGUUUAUGGUGCAUUG
rnacentral:lncRNA from 1 species